ACAAAAGGGGAUAAUACUAUAUCCGAGUGCAAAGGUGGGACUUGUAAUGCGGAAGCUAAAGGAAAUUAUUCGGUCGCUUCCUGCGAAGGAAAUGUAUGCCAAGCGAAAUGUAAAGGCACGGAUUGUAAUGCUAUGUGUACUGGAAAGUCUUGCAUGGCGAAGUGCUCUGGAAACAAUUGCAAAACAUCUUGUGAUGGGUUAUACUGCAUCCACAAGUCCUACAACACACCAGAUCUCAUGAUGCAAUACCCAUCUCUACGGGCCCCAGUUGUGAAAGUGGAACUCACUUUCGAAGUUGACGAAUAAACAACAAUA